rnacentral:sRNA from 1 species
CGUCAGUGCUGGGAGGGGCGGUGGUGACGCAGAUACCAGCACCACCUCCGCCGGGCCGGGCCCCACGCCGGCGGCGGAUUGGCUCCCUCCGAGGGCACGCACGCCCGGGGACUCGUUGGCGGCGUGGAGGGGCGCCGGUGGCCACGUUGGUAUCAACCUCCUUCGUGAAGCUCACACCUCCCCCGCCCCGGGAGGGGUUUGCCCGCCACUGUCGCUGAAUGAUUGCAUCAUCGAAAGCAGAAAACCACUUUUGCAUCCAUCGGCCUCUGGCGUGCCUGCCAUGACAUCAUAGCUCUGCGGAGGUGGAAGUUGGGGAGCUUUGAGGUAACUGGAUUCUUGAUCUGAGCGCAGACGUCCUUCCUAACCUCACUGCAUUUGGAGGACCUGGAGGCAGGGUGGGUGAAGGGCAAGGAAAGAGGCAGGACGAGAGCUUGGCCGCGGUGGCGUCUGAGGGGCCUGAAUGUUUCAAGGCCAGAGCCUGGCGAUCAGGUGGCUCGCUUAGUCCUAAACCAGUCAUCCUUCUCCAGCCCUCCUCUGUAAAAUGGAAACUCUGUCCCCUUGCUUGUCUUAGGACCUCAUGGAUCCCAGGGGGACCAAGAGAGAAGCUGAGAAGACAGAGGUAGCUGAGCCUCGGAACAAACUACCUCGUCCAGCACCUUCUCUGCCCACAGACCCUGCCCUCUACUCUGGGCCCUUUCCUUUCUACCGGCGCCCUUCGGAACUGGGCUGCUUCUCCCUGGAUGCUCAACGCCAGUACCAUGGAGAUGCCCGAGCCCUGCGCUACUAUAGCCCACCCCCCACUAACGGUCCAGGCCCCAACUUUGACCUCAGAGACGGAUACCCGGAUCGAUACCAGCCCCGGGACGAGGAGGUCCAAGAAAGGCUGGACCACCUGCUGUGCUGGCUUCUGGAACACCGAGGCCGGUUGGAGGGGUGAGCAAAGUGUGGCAGGCAGUAUAUCUGGAGACCCGUACCUACCCUCUAAAAUUAGGAGAGCCAAAGCCGGGGUGAGAAUCAGUCCUUAGAAGAAACAAGACUAUUCUUCGAGGGGAGCAUCUCAUUAAUGCUUGUGUCAGACCUUCAGCCUGUAACUCCUGCCUCUCAGGGGUCCAGGCUGGCUGGCAGAGGCCAUAGUGACGUGGCGGGGGCACCUCACAAAACUGCUGACGACACCGUAUGAGCGGCAGGAGGGCUGGCAGCUGGCAGCCUCCCGGUUCCAGGGAACACUAUACCUAAGUGAAGUGGAGACGCCAAACGCUCGGGCCCAGAGGCUUGCUCGGCCACCGCUCCUCCGGGAGCUUAUGUACAUGGGAUACAAAUUUGAGCAGUACAUGUGUGCAGGUGAGUUGCCCCUGCUUCAUAGCCCCCUUCCCCUUCCCAGAGAUUGAGAGCCACCCACCCCUGCUGCUGCUUCUCUCCUUGUGCAGACAAACCUGGAAGCUCCCCAGACCCCUCUGGGGAGGUUAACACCAACGUGGCCUUCUGCUCUGUGCUACGCAGCCGCCUGGGAAGCCACCCUCUGCUCUUCUCAGGGGAGGUAGACUGCACAGACCCCCAGGCCCCAUCCACACAGCCCCCAACCUGCUAUGUGGAGCUCAAGACCUCCAAGGAGAUGCACAGCCCUGGCCAAUGGAGGAGUUUCUACAGACACAAGCUCCUGAAAUGGUGGGCUCAGUCAUUCCUCCCAGGGGUCCCGAAUGUUGUUGCUGGCUUCCGUAACCCAGAGGGUUUUGUCUCUUCCCUCGAGACCUUUCCUACCAUGAAGAUGUUUGAAUAUGUCAGGAAUGACCGUGACGGCUGGAAUCCCUCUGUGUGCAUGAACUUCUGUGCCGCCUUCCUUAGCUUUGCCCAGAGCACGGUUGUCCAGGAUGACCCCAGGCUCGUUCACCUCUUCUCUUGGGAGCCUGGUGGCCCAGUCACCGUGUCUGUACACCGAGAUGCACCUUAUGCCUUCCUGCCCAUAUGGUAUGUGGAAGCUAUGACUCAGGACCUCCCAUCACCCCCCAAGACUCCCUCCCCUAAAUAGUAAUGCUUUAGAGGGAGGCAGUCAUAUCUCUAUGUGCAGAUAAUAAAAGCUUAUUUUUAAGAGGUUC